rnacentral:rRNA from 1 species
GACGAACGCUGGCGGCGUGCUUAACACAUGCAAGUCGAACGGAAAGGCCUGCAGCUUGCUGCGGGUACUCGAGUGGCGAACGGGUGAGUAACACGUGGGUGAUCUGCCUUGCACUUCGGGAUAAGCUUGGGAAACUGGGUCUAAUACCGGAUAGGACAGCUGUUUAGUGUCAGUUGUGGAAAGUUUUUUCGGUGCAAGAUGAGCUUGCGGCCUAUCAGCUUGUUGGUGGGGUAAUGGCCUACCAAGGCGUCGACGGGUAGCCGGCCUGAGAGGGUGUACGGCCACAUUGGGACUGAGAUACGGCCCAGACUCCUACGGGAGGCAGCAGUGGGGAAUAUUGCACAAUGGGCGGAAGCCUGAUGCAGCGACGCCGCGUGGGGGAUGAAGGCCUUCGGGUCGUAAACUCCUUUCGACAGGGACGAAGCGUAAGUGACGGUACCUGUAUAAGAAGCACCGGCUAACUACGUGCCAGCAGCCGCGGUAAUACGUAGGGUGCGAGCGUUGUCCGGAAUUACUGGGCGUAAAGAGCUCGUAGGUGGUUUGUCGCGUCGUCUGUGAAAUUCCGGGGCUUAACUCCGGGCGUGCAGGCGAUACGGGCUGACUUGAGUGCUGUAGGGGAGACUGGAAUUCCUGGUGUAGCGGUGAAAUGCGCAGAUAUCAGGAGGAACACCGAUGGCGAAGGCAGGUCUCUGGGCAGUAACUGACGCUGAGGAGCGAAAGCAUGGGUAGCGAACAGGAUUAGAUACCCUGGUAGUCCAUGCCGUAAACGGUGGGCGCUAGGUGUAGGGGGCUUCCACGUCUUCUGUGCCGUAGCUAACGCAUUAAGCGCCCCGCCUGGGGAGUACGGCCGCAAGGCUA